rnacentral:rRNA from 1 species
GACGAACGCUGGCGGCGUGCUUAACACAUGCAAGUCGAACGGUGAAGGGGUCUGCUUUUGUGGGCCCUGGAUGAGUGGCGAACGGGUGAGUAACACGUGAGUAACCUGCCCCCUUCUUCUGGAUAACCGCAUGAAAGUGUGGCUAAUACGGGAUAUUCUGGGUCUGUCGCAUGAUGGGUCUGGGAAAGAUUGCGCCUUUGGGUGUUUUUGGUGGGGGAUGGGCUCGCGGCCUAUCAGCUUGUUGGUGGGGUGAUGGCCUACCAAGGCGGUGACGGGUAGCCGGCCUGAGAGGGGGGACGGUCACACUGGGACUGAGACACGGCCCAGACUCCUACGGGAGGCAGCAGUGGGGAAUAUUGCACAAUGGGCGCAAGCCUGAUGCAGCGACGCCGCGUGAGGGAUGGAGGCCUUCGGGUUGUAAACCUCUUUCGCCAGUGAAGCAGGCCUGCUCCUUGUGGGUGGGUUGACGGUAGCUGGAUAAGAAGCGCCGGCUAACUACGUG